GAUGAACGCUGGCGGCGUGCCUAAUACAUGCAAGUCGAGCGAACAGACGAGGAGCUUGCUCCUCUGACGUUAGCGGCGGACGGGUGAGUAACACGUGGAUAACCUACCUAUAAGACUGGGAUAACUUCGGGAGACCGGAGCUAAUACCGGAUAAUAUAUUGAACCGCAUGGUUCAAUAGUGAAAGACGGUUUUGCUGUCACUUAUAGAUGGAUCCGCGCCGCAUUAGCUAGUUGGUAAGGUAACGGCUUACCAAGGCAACGAUGCGUAGCCGACCUGAGAGGGUGAUCGGCCACACUGGAACUGAGACACGGUCCAGACUCCUACGGGAGGCAGCAGUAGGGAAUCUUCCGCAAUGGGCGAAAGCUUGACGGAGCAACGCCGCGUGAGUGAUGAAGGUCUUCGGAUCGUAAAACUCUGUUAUUAGGGAAGAACAAAUGUGUAAGUAACUAUGCACGUCUUGACGGUACCUAAUCAGAAAGCCACGGCUAACUACGUG
rnacentral:rRNA from 1 species